rnacentral:rRNA from 1 species
UAAUAAAAAAUUAUUUAAAUUUUAGUUAAAAGGGGUUUUAAAUAAAAAAAUUUAAAGGUUAAAGUAUAAUUAAGAAUAAAAUUAAUUUUAUAAUAGUUUAUUAGUAUAGUGAUAGAAUUGUAAAUUAAUAUAAAAGAAGAAUUUGUAUUUGUACCUUGUGUAUCAGGGUUAAUUAAUUUUAAUAAAAAUUUAUAUUUUCUCGAAUUUAAAAGAGUUAUUAUUUUAUAUAUUUUAUUGUAAAAUAAAUAUUUAAAAUAAAAUAAUUGUAAUGAAAUGUUAGUCGUUUUUAAGUAUAUCUAGUUGUUUAGGAAAGGAUUUUAAAUCUUUUAUUAUGAAAAUAGUGUUACUUUUUAGUAAAAUUUUAAUAAUAGGAACUUUUUAAGGGGAUAAGCUUUUAAAAAUAAAAUUAAAAAUAAAUUUAUUGAUAAAAAAAUAUAGGAUUAGAAGUGUUUAUUUUUAGAAUAGUGUUAUAAUAAAUUUUUUUAUGUUGAUUAUUUGUAUUAGUUUUAGGUAUUUUAUUAAAUUGAUUUUUAAAGUUAAAAUUAAAAUGUAAUUAUGAUUUAAUUAGUAAUAGAAUGAUUUAAUUUUAAUUUAAAAAUUAAGGUUAAUUUAAAUAAUUCGGCAAAAUAUUUUUCACCUGUUUAUUAAAAACAUGGCCUUUUGUUAAAAAUUUAAGGUCUAGCCUGCUCACUGAGGAGUUUAAGAGCCGCGGUAUUUUGACCGUGCUAAGGUAGCAUAAUCAUUAGUUUCUUAAUUAGAAGCUGGAAUGAAUGGUCGGAUGAGAAAAUAACUGUUUCAAAUUAAUUGAUUAUGAAUUUUAUUUUUAAGUAAAAAAGCUUAAAUUAAUUUAAAAGACGAGAAGACCCUAUAGAGUUUAAUAAAAUUAAGAUUUUAAAAUUUUUAGUAAUAUUAAAUUUAAUUUAUAAUUUUAUUUGAUUGGGGUGAUUGAAAAAUUGAAUUAACUUUUUUUUAUUAAAACAUUAAUAUAUGAUUGUAUGAUCCAUUGUUUAUGAUUAAAAGAUUAAAUUACCUUAGGGAUAACAGCGUUAUUUUAUUGGAGAGUUCAAAUCGAUAAUAAAGUUUGCGACCUCGAUGUUGGAUUAAAAUAAAUUUUUGGUGUAGAGGCUAAAAAGGUUAGGUCUGUUCGACCUUUAAAAUUUUACAUGAUCUGAGUUUAGACCGGCGUGAGCCAGGUCGGUUUCUAUCUUUAAAUAAAGAUAAUAUUUUAGUACGAAAGGAUCAAGUAUUUAAUAAAUAAUUAUUAAUUGAAUAAAAUUA